rnacentral:lncRNA from 1 species
GACGACGAUGCCUGGACGAGCCUUGGCAAAAUGUAAGGCUACAAAUUUACUGUCGGAAAAUAUCUUGAUCCAGGUUUUGCAUACGCAUUUGCAUCGGAACACGGCUCGGGCAGGGAGCCUCGACAGAAUUUCAACCAAAAUAUCUGAUGGUAGGUUCAUUAAGAAAACAUUUUUCUGGUUUAUGUAUUUGCAGUCUAUCGAAUUCUCCAUAGCUGCUGUAGUGGGGGUGGACUGGGGUGGGUUCUCUCUACAUCUAAGCCAAGGCAAAGAUGAAUUUAUAUAUAAGAGUUGUUGCUUUAUAAUAACGCUUUCAUCCAACAUAGAGGAAAAUUGGAAUACGGCACUUUUUAACGUUAUUUCAAGAUUCCAUUUCCCAUGUCAGUUUCUUGUUAGAAGGCCGGCAAGUUGUUUUCGUCUGGGAAAAUGCCAUUUUGUCCGAAAAUAUUUGACACUAAAGGUGAUAGGCACUUACAAAGUGUGCGGGUGCGGGUCCCACGUAAAUUAAAUAAUGUCUGACCCUCGAGUUGUGUGUUCAAUUAUCUCCUACGUCAACCGUCAUAUUCCUCUAACUCAGUCCUUUCGUCUGUUAAAUGACAGAUAGAGAUUGAAAAACAUGUUGCUUGUAUUUGAAUUUUGAGUUCAUUUUCAAUUUUUUUUAUUUUGAGAAUUUGUUUUAAAAUUGUUGAAACUCAUCAUUUUGAAAAAUUAAUUUUCGAAACAAAAAAAACUACAAAACACUUUUGAUUUGAGAUUUUAUAUAUUUUAUGUUUUUGUAUUAUAUUUUUAAAAAUUUUAUUUGUUAGAAUUUUAUAUUUUUAUUUUUAAAAACUAUUUCAUUUAAAUAAAAUUUUAUUCAAACAAUUGUUUUCUCUAUUUUGAAUGGUUUCAGUAUUUUAUCUGAAAACGUCAAAAAUGUAUUUUGAAUUUUAUGUUAUAAAUUUAUUCUUGUUUUCGAAAAUAUAUUUUGAGAAAUAUAAGAUCAAAAAUAUUUUCAGUGUUUUGCAACAUUGAGAACAGCUUAAAAUGGCAAACCAAACGUACUCUUAAAAAUUGUGUCAAUUUAACGGUUAAUUUUACUGAUGGCCACCGAAGUUUAACUUGUUUUACACUGAUCACUAAUUUUCAUAAAAAGUUUCAUUUAGUUUAUUGGUUCAGUUUGAUGCUUAUUCUUUAAUUGAAAAUCCUACUUCUUUGCAGGUUAGUGCGUGUACGUAUUGAUAGUCGAGUUAUAAAAAUGAUCCAAAGUUGAGUCAGUGGUUUGAAUAUAUUAUUUUGUAGAGUUGAGUGGUGAAUAUGAGACAAAAUUAAACUUUAGUGGCCAAGGUGAUAUUAAGUGUAAAUUCUAGUGGCCACUAGUAGUCAAUGAUUUGCAUUUUUCAUAUAUAUAUAUAUAUAUAUAUAUCUUUGUUGAUGACUGAAAAAGGACAUGUCAAAUUAAGAUCAACUUGAUACAAUUUUUGGGCAAUUGCUGGACAUCAUGCUACAGUGUCGAUCUUGAAAUACAUGUAAAUGUCUAAUAAAUGAGUUUGAUUGAGUGUUAACGUCAAUAGAUCAAGUUGUCAUUUUGCCUAUGUUUUCGAUGUCUCCUAGGUACCCCUAAGUCAUCACUAUUUUCCUUUGAUUGAUGGCAUCUGAAGACGACCACUUCAGAAGACACAAUUGUAUCAAUAUAAUUGGUCACGUUUGUGGUUAUAGUGUCAGCAAUGAAACACUUUCACAAAAAGCAAUGAUGAUGUUUUCAAAUGAUAAUGAUCGAUCAAGUUUGGUGAGAGAGCUGGCAAUUCGACCUCAAAUUAUAUUUUUGCAAUAGCAUUUUCAAUUUUCUGAAGUGGGUCCAUGACGAUCCUUGAGUUUGGUCACCAAAAAUCUUAAAUCUUCCUUAUAAGUAGCAAUGAUGAUAAUAUAUUCCAUAAUCAAUUUUUAGUCAUUUAUUAGAAAAAGGUAAUCCCUUAUCAGAAAAAAUUACAAAUUAUAAAAAGGCAAACUUUAGUUCCAUCAUGAGACUUGGUGCUCGGCAGAACUUAUGCUGAUGGAUUUGAGUUCUUUAAUUUUUAUUUAAUUCCUAUUCAAAGCUGCUUUUAUUAUUACCUUAACAAAACUUGGACUUUCAAAGCUGCUUUGACAAACAAUGUGGGUCCUUCAUAAUUAAUUAGUGGUCCCAACUAUUUUUACCAACUAAGGUGAGGAAUGAGAAUCAUGACGUUGCUUAAAUAGACGUGCCUACCGGCUUUUCUCAAAUCUUGACACCUCAAUAUAAUAAAUAAUGUUAUUCAACACCAGUGAUAUUUAAUGUCAAUUUAGGCGACAAUACUUACAGAUUCAACUAAGUAUAAUGAUUUAUAACUUAUUAAUAGAACAUAUAAUAUACUGACACAUAAAUAGAUGUUCAAUACUAUCGAUUUUAUAUAGCAUUAUUCCAAUGUGAGAUGUAUUUUAUUACAUAAGGUCCUUAUCUCGGGGCGAAUCAACAUAGAGGGCCUUCACAUGCGUUUUUAGAUACUCUCCAAAUUUGUGAAUGUGGAUAUUCGAGCAGUAAUUUUAAUUUAAACAAAUGUCUAAGUUCAGCGACCAUCUAAGCAAUUUUAAGCUUCUCAAUGUCCUACUGUCAAUUCCGUUUGCCAUACAAUGCUCACGUUAGAUACUCUCCGUUAAUAUGUAUACACUAGUGAGUGGUAACUUAAACAAAUGUCUAAAUUGUUUGUGACCAUCUUUAUAUUCAUCAGAAACUCGACUUACCCCAAACCCAUAUGUGGCUAUGCUAGGAUACCAAACGACUCCCUCGGGUGUCGGAGCCUAACAUAUUCCAGCGUAAUUGGAUUAAAAACGUAAACACUUUCUUCUUUUUAAUUCGUGUCCCGUGAGCAUAUCAAGUCAUUAACAGAAACCAUCAAGAACUAUAUUUGCAUUAGAGAAUUCAUUCAUCCUCUUGAGAUCAACUUUCACAAGAGAAUCAUCAUCAAGAUCAUUAUGAUCAAUUUCAUCUUCAAAUUCCACCACCUUGAUGAUAUUCUUGAAUAUUUCUGAUGGACGACGAGGCUUGGACGAGCCUAAAUUUAAUAUCCCAAGACUUUUACAAAAGUGAGGUUUUUUAUUUGUAUUUUGUGUUUCAAAGUUAGUAUGUGAAGGUUUUACAAAAGUCAUUAAAAGCUAUUGAUAUUUUGAAUAUCGAUAACUUUUAAAGACUUUAAAAUGUCUUAAGUUAAUUUCCCAAGUCUUUUAAGGAAUUUUACAAUGUGUAUAAUAUUUUUAUUUUUAAUGCCUUAAUACUUUUAUGGGAAAUUUUUCAAAACACCCUAUNNNNNNNNNNNNNNNNNNNNNNNNNNNNNNNNNNNNNNNNNNNNNNNNNNNNNNNNNNNNNNNNNNNNNNNNNNNNNNNNNNNNNNNNNNNNNNNNNNNNNNNNNNNNNNNNNNNNNNNNNNNNNNNNNUAUAUAUAUAUAUAUAUAUAUAUUAUUGAUUGAUAAUGCCACAAUUUAAAGAGGUUUGCAGAAGUAACAAACCAAAAAAGGAUCAUAACAAAUACUAGAAAAUUAGGAUAUACAUAUACAAAUUUAAAUAACAACCUAAUCUAAAUCCUGUUUCUAGAAAAUAAGAGGUAAGAUUACAACUAUGACAGAAAUAUUGUUCUUCAAAACUCUCCCUCAAGCUGGAGAGAAAAUAUUGAUGAUUCCCAGCUUGCUCACACAGUCUUCAAACAUCUGCCUGCUAGAUCCCUUUGUAAAAAUGUCUCCAACCUGGUUCUUGGAUGGGACAUAUGUUAUACAAACAUCUUCGCUCUCUAUCUUUUCUUUGACAAAAUGUUUGUCAAUCUCUACAUGUUUGGUGCGAUCGUGAUGAAUUGGAUUAUGAGCCAUACUUAUGGAUGGGUCUUAAGUAUGGCUGUUGUUGCUCAUCCAAAAGCCUUCUAAUCCAAAUAAGUUCACUAUAGCCAUGUGCUAAAGCUCUCAGUUCUGCUUCUCCACUACUUUUAGCUACUACACUUUGUUCUUUGCUUCUCCAAGUCACCAAAUUGCCCCCACACAAAUGUACAGUACCCGGAUGUAGACCUCAUAUCAUCAAUAGAGCUAGCCCAAUCAGAAUCGGUAUAGGUUUCAAUGCAUCUAUUUUGGUUUUUGCCAAAAAAUAAUCCUUUUCCCCAGCUCCCCUUUAAAUAUCUUAAAAUCUUGUUAAGUCAUAUUUGCUCCAAUAAGGAAGCUAUUAUGCUAUACUAAAAAGUAAAAACUAACUUUCAUACAAAUGUGAUGGCCAGUCAAAUAGAUUUUCUCGUAAAUAUAUCUAAAACUUUUUUCUUAAUAUGUUAGAAAUCGUUCCAAAGAAACACGUUGUAAAAGCAUAAAAGUAAUCAAGACUAUAUCGCGCAUCAAAAGCAAGUUCAUAAAAUUUAAGAUGUAAAAUAAAUUCUUUUAACCUCGAUGUGAAAAUUAGGAAAAUUGAGGAACCAAUGUUGGCAGUAAGUAAAGAUAAUGAAAAAGAGAGAUUUGAGGACCCAAUGUUGGCUGUAACUAAAGAUAAUGAAAAAGAAAGGUUUGAGGAUCCGAGUUCUACUUGUUGGUAAUGAUGAAAGACGGUUCAAGAGUGUAAGUUAGAACUUAUUGAUGCAUCUGUUUAUUCAGUGCUCUAGACGUGGCUUAUUCCCUGAGAUUUUGUGUUUCCUAAUUGAUGCGUUAAUCUUUUAUUUCAGCCUGUCAUUGCAGCAUUGCAAUGAAAUCAAGUCUUGCUUGAACUUAGAGAUGUUUUUCUAAGACAUUGAAGAAGAUUGUAGUUUAUACUUUUUCUGGCUAAUAGAGUUGUAAUAAUCCAAAGAAAAUUUUGACAAUUCCCAAGAGUUAGAUCCAUAUCCUUGUCUGUGUUUGACACUUCUACCCAAGUUCAAGCAACAUAGUUUUUGCCUCUAAUUCUUGGUGCAGUUAGAUCAUACUCGUGUUCUUUUGGUUGUUUCAACGGUCUCAUUUGAAUUUUAAAUUAAUUGAAUCAUUUUGGCUUUUAUUUCCAGGCUUUGGACACAUUUAACACUGCUGUAGUUUCUCCAAUCUAUUAUGCCAUGUUCACAUCGCUUACAAUUUUUGCCAGUGCCAUAAUGUUCAAGGUAUCUAAGAAUGUCCCUUGCAACAAUGUUACAGUGUUGCUAUUUUGUUUAAACUCUAAACCUGUACUCCACUACUCUAGGAUUGGGCUGGUCAGAGUGCUAGCAGCAUUGUUUCGGUUCUCUGUGGAUUUAUUACUGUACUUUCGGGUAAAAUGGUUUUGCACAGUACAAGAGAUCCAGAAAACACAGCAGCUGCAGGUAUGUCCACUUCUCUACUUGAGCACGAAUAUAUUCAUUGAAACAUCUACUUUAUUUGUGGCUGACUUUGUUUUCAGUAAUUCUUGGAACUUGUACUUUUUGAUGAUUGUUGCAACUAGCUUAUAGCAAAUGACGUAAUUUUUAUGAACUUAGCACUGAGCACUUUCUGUUUCAAGUUGUCCGCUCGAUUUUAUUUCUUUGCAGUUUAUGGUAGAUUUAUUGGUAAAUACCUUUUCCCGUUGCUUUUUGUUGCUGAUAUCUUUAUGCUUUGUGGGUCAAAAUUGACUACCAUAAUUCUAUUGAUAUUUUUUAGAUUAUUCAGCACUACCUCAAAUAUCAUGGCGGGUCCAUGCAAAUGGCGAAAUAUGGAAACAAAAAGACAAUGAUGAAUUGCACCCUGAAUUUGUGGCAAUUAUUCGGCAAGAACAUUUCAAGUAACGUAACAGAACUUGGACGAUCUUGUCACUCAAAGCUAUCUUCUAAAUGUUGUCUUCCAAGAUUCUUGAUCGCGAACUUUAGGUUGAUCUGCCGUUUGAGGAUUGUAUCUUUACUGAAUUUCAAAGGGAUUUAUUUAUUUAUUUUUUCCACGGCCCAGGCUUGAUUAGCAUAAGUAUGCAGUAGUUUCUAAUAAUAUUAAGUAAUUUUUUGUGCUUGUAUUAACUCUAAAGAUAGAACCACAUUGUAUUUUUAUGCCACUGAAAUGUCUACUCUUUACAAAAAGAUGAAAUGAAGAAAUUUCCCAUUUUGUAUUUUGAUUAUUGAAGAUAUAUGCUUUCUUUCUUAUUGUCCAAAGCAUUAUCUUAUGCCACACGAACCCAAGUUGCGUGUACCAAACAUGAAACUUUGUGUAAUGUGCUGGUUACAUUUGCAUGAAGACAUAAUUUUACUCUUUAUUGUGAACAGAGAGAUCACUUUCGUUAAAAUCAGUGGCAUCUCUUGAAUAAUGUUAACGUAUGACACAUGCCUACUUCCAAUUUCUUUAUAAUAACAGCACACUGUGUACAUAAUUUAUGCAUACAGAAUGAAUAUAAAUAUUUAUGUACGAUUGUGCACGUGUCACUAACUCGAGUAUCUAUUCCGUACUUGUCUAUACAGUGUUUAUUGUGGGCACGAUAACUGGUUAACUAGAGAUGUGUCUGUUUCGGUUCUCUCCUUGUUUUGUUGCACAAUCAAAAGUUACAAACAUUCUCGAAUCCGAAGUUCUUGAGUGAGACCAAACUUGAAACAUGGAGCAUCGCCUCGAUUUUAUUAGGCAUAAUAAUAAUAAUAAUAAUAAUAAUAAAUAAAUAAAUAAAAAAUAAAAAAUCUCGUUUAUUGUACAGUUUAUCCUCGACGAACACAAGUUGUGUGUACCAAACAUGAAACUUUGUGUAAUGUGCUGGUUACAUUGCAUGAAGACAUAAUUUUACUCCUUGUUAUGAACAGAGAAAUCACUUUUGUUAAAAUUAGUGGCAUCUCUUGAAUAAUGUUAACGUAUGAAACAUGCCUACUUUCAAUUUCUUUAUAAUAACAGCACAAUGUGUACAUAAUUUAUGCAUACAGAAUGAAUAUAAAUAUUUAUAUAUGAUUGUGCAUGUGUCACUAACUCAAACAUCUAUUUUGUACUUGCAUAUACAGUGUUUAUUGUGGACACGAUAACUGGUAAACUAGAGGUGUGUUCGUUCCGGUUCUCUCACUCAUUCGGGACCCACUAUUCCUUGUUUUGCUGCACAAUCAAAAGUUACAAACAUUCUCGAAUCCGAAGUUCUUGAGUGAGACCAAACUUGAAACAUGGAGCAUCGCCUCGAUUUUAUUAGGCCCUCGUGGUUGAUCGAGGUCGACUUCUUGUCCAACAUUGCUCUUAUUGCAACAGUACAGCAUAAAGAAGUCCCCCCAUAGCACCAUAAUCACCCCAUCUUUGAAAAUUUUGAAUGGAUAAACUACUUCAAGUGUUGGCCCUGUUAACUCUGUCAUUUUAGUGAUGACAAACUGUCGAGUCCAUGAUUUCUCUACGCCAUAUUCUUUCAUAACCCAGAUGUUGAUUUCACAAUAUGAAGUAUUAUCACAUAAACAUAAACGAUCUUGUAAAACUCCAAGACCCCCAAGAAGCCCCUCCUUGCCUGGAAAUGGAGCCGGGAAUGGUUGAAACACUUCGUUUUCUAGAUCGAAACACGAAAUCAUUUCAUGAGUAUCGUCUAAAUCUUUUAUCAACCAAUGAAUAUUUCCAUUGAAGAAUAACCCAACAGAACGACAACGACGACCAUAGGCAAAAUUCAACAUAUUUUCAUUAAUGCUUCUCCAUGAUCCGGUUCCGAGGGUGUAAACAUGACAUUCCGACCAUGGAAUUCUUAUGCAUGUUUGCCUAAUCGGGUCAAGAACCUGGUCGUGAAAAACUUGAACCACUUUAUAUUCACCAGAUACUCUACUUACCCCGAACCCAUACGUGGCCAUGCUAGGAUACUGAACGACUCCCUCGGGAUCCGGGAGCCUAACAUAUUCCCGCGUAGUUGGAUUACAAACAUAAACGCUUUCGUGUUCGUAAUUCGAAUCCCUUAAGCAUAUCAAGCCAUUAACAGAACCAUCAAGAACUAUAUUUGCACCAGAGAAUUCACUAAUCCUCUUGAGAUCAAAUUUCAGAAGAGAAUCAUCAUCAAGAUCAUGAUGAUCAAUCUCAUCUCCAAAUUCCACUAACUUGAUGAAAUUCUUGAACAUUUCAGAUUGAUGGACGACGAUGCCUGGACGAGCCUUGGCAAAAUGUAAGGUUACAAAUUUACUAUCGGAAAAUAUCUUGAUCCAGGUUUUGCAUACGCAUUUGCAUCGGAAGACGGCUCGGGCAGGGAGCCUCGACAGAAUUUCAACCAAAAUAUCUGAUGGUAGGUUCAUUAAGAAAACAUUUUUCUGGUUUAUGUAUUUGUAGUAUAUCGAAUUCUCCAUAGCUGCUGUAGUGGGGGUGGACUGGGGUGGGUUCUCUCUACAU